rnacentral:rRNA from 1 species
CAUGCUUUACACAUGCAGGUCGAACGGUAACAGGUCUUCGGAUGCUGACGAGUGGCGAACGGGUGAGUAAUGCAUCGGAACGUGCCCAGUCGUGGGGGAUAACGCAGCGAAAGCUGCGCUAAUACCGCAUACGCCUGAGGGGAAGCGGGGACCGUAAGGCCUCGCGCGAUUAGAGCGGCCGAUAUCUGAUUAGCUUGUUGGUGGGGUAAAAGCCCACCAAGGCGACGAUCAGUAGCUGGUCUGAGAGGACGAUCAGCCACACUGGGACUGAGACACGGCCCAGACUCCUACGGGAGGCAGCAGUGGGGAAUUUUGGACAAUGGGGGCAACCCUGAUCCAGCAAUGCCGCGUGAGUGAAGAAGGCCUUCGGGUUGUAAAGCUCUUUUGUCAGGGAAGAAACAGCAGCUCUAACACAGUCUGCGAAUGACGGUACCUGAAGAAUAAGCACCGGCUAACUACGUG